UACGGAGGGUGCAAGCGUUAAUCGGAAUUACUGGGCGUAAAGGGCGCGUAGGUGGUUAGCUAAGUUGGCUGUGAAAUUCCUGGGCUUAACCUGGGAUGGUCAGCCAAAACUGGUUAACUAGAGUAUGAUAGAGGGUAGUGGAAUUUCAGGUGUAGCGGUGAAAUGCGUAGAUAUCUGAAGGAACACCAGUGGCGAAGGCGACUACCUGGCUCAAUACUGACACUGAGGCGCGAAAGCGUGGGGAGCAAACAGG
rnacentral:rRNA from 1 species